AAAUUGAAGAGUUUGAUCAUGGCUCAGAUUGAACGCUGGCGGCAGGCCUAACACAUGCAAGUCGAACGGUAACAGGAAGCAGCUUGCUGCUUUGCUGACGAGUGGCGGACGGGUGAGUAAUGUCUGGGAAACUGCCUGAUGGAGGGGGAUAACUACUGGAAACGGUGGCUAAUACCGCAUAACGUCGCAAGACUAAAGAGGGGGACCUUCGGGCCUCUUGCCAUCAGAUGUGCCCAGAU
rnacentral:rRNA from 1 species